UGCCCGGUCGUUCAAUGGUAGGACACCACCCUUUGGAGGUGGUUAUCAUGGUUCGAAUCCAUGCCGGGCAA
rnacentral:tRNA from 1 species